AACGCGUGGGCAAUCUGCCCUACAGGUGGGGGGUAGGCCCUCGGAAACGAGGGGUAAUUCCGCAUGUGCUCGUCGACUGAUGGGGUUGAUGAGGAAAGGGUCUUCGGACUCGCCUGAGGAGGAGCCUGCGGCCGAUUAGCUAGUUGGUGGGGUAACGGCUCACCAAGGCGAUGAUCGGUAGCUGGUCUGAGAGGACGGCCAGCCACAUGGGGACUGAGACACGGCCCCA
rnacentral:rRNA from 1 species